AUUGAACGCUGGCGGCAGGCCUAACACAUGCAAGUCGAGCGGCAGCGGGAAAGUAGCUUGCUACUUUUGCCGGCGAGCGGCGGACGGGUGAGUAAUGCCUGGGGAUCUGCCCAGUCGAGGGGGAUAACAGUUGGAAACGACUGCUAAUACCGCAUACGCCCUACGGGGGAAAGGAGGAGACCUUCGGGCCUUUCGCGAUUGGAUGAACCCAGGUGGGAUUAGCUAGUUGGUGGGGUAAUGGCUCACCAAGGCGACGAUCCCUAGCUGGUCUGAGAGGAUGAUCAGCCACACUGGAACUGAGACACGGUCCAGACUCCUACGGGAGGCAGCAGUGGGGAAUAUUGCACAAUGGGGGAAACCCUGAUGCAGCCAUGCCGCGUGUGUGAAGAAGGCCUUCGGGUUGUAAAGCACUUUCAGCGAGGAGGAAGGGUUGUUGGCUAAUACCCAGCAACUGUGACGUUACUCGCAGAAGAAGCACCGGCUAACUCCGUGCCAGCAGCCGCAGUAA
rnacentral:rRNA from 1 species